rnacentral:misc_RNA from 1 species
GAUGAAGAACGUAGCGAAAUGCGAUAAGUAAUGUGAAUUGCAGAAUUCAGUGAAUCAUCGAAUCUUUGAACGCACAUUGCGCCCUCUGGUAUUCCGGAGGGCAUGCCUGUUCGAGCGUCAUUUCACCACUCAAGCCUGGCUUGGUAUUGGGCGUCGCGGUGUUCCGCGCGCCUCAAAGUCUCCGGCUGAGCUGUCCGUCUCCAAGCGUUGUGAUUUCAUUAAUCGCUUCGGAGUGCGGGCGGCCGCGGCCGUUAAAUCUUUCACAAGGUUGACCUCGGAUCAGGCAGGGAUACCCGCUGAACUUAAGCAUAUCAAUAAGCGGAGGA